rnacentral:rRNA from 1 species
UACGUAGGGCGCAAGCGUUGUCCGGAAUUAUUGGGCGUAAAGAGCUCGUAGGCGGUCUGUUACGUCCGCUGUGAAAACCCAGGGCUUAACCCUGGGCUUGCAGUGGAUACGGGUGGACUAGAGGCAGGUAGGGGAGAAUGGAAUUCCCGGUGUAGCGGUGAAAUGCGCAGAUAUCGGGAGGAACACCGGUGGCGAAGGCGGUUCUCUGGGCCUGUACUGACGCUGAGGAGCGAAAGCGUGGGGAGCGAACAGG